UUUAAAAGGCUCCAUGCAAGCAAUGCAAGUCUCCUGUGUCAACAGCUGAACCAUCCCACUGGAGAGAUUCCUUCAUUGCUGAGGCGCUUCACUGGAGAAUUACUGAGACCCUUUUCCUAAGCCAGGAGACUGUUACAGAUCCUGCUAGCUGGGAAGAAGGGAAUAAAGGACCUACUGCCUUCUCCUCCCAGGAUGCACAGAGGCGGAGGAAUGGUGUCACAUGGCCACCAGCUGCCAUCACGGUGGAAGGAGAGAGUCCACCCUGAAGCAGCCCAGAUCCUGGUAAUUUAGUGCAUGGUCUUACUGAUGGGGCAUGGAGGAUGAAAUCCCCUCUGCGAUGCCAGCAGAGUAGGUACCUGCAGCUCCCACAGACCUGUACAGUGUCCAAACUACCCUUCCUCCUGUUUAAUCCAGCCUUGCUUAAACUGGUCCAGUCCUGCAGGAAGUGCUGAUGUUGAUGAAUCAACAUUUUCCAGUUAAAAACGUGGCAUUUGCAAUUUCCCAACAAGUCCUAAUUGAGAGCAUUCAGAAGAAAUGCAAACAAACAAGCAAGCAAACCAAACAAUAGCAGAGGGCAGGGAACGAGCUGGGCAUCUCCGACCAGCUGUCCUCACUGGACCAUUGCUCCCUGGGCUGUAGCUGCAGUCUCCAAAGCUUGUCUUUUUGCAACUUCUUUCCGAUGAAAGCUGGUUUUGGCUUAGCAGAACCACUUGGCAAAUGUGUGCUUUGACUUUCUUACUCGUGUUUUAUGGGUAUGCUGGAUGUAUUCCCAUGCUAUGGUCUGGGAUCCCUAAACUACUAAAAUAAGACAACCCACCCUAGAUGUUUCUCUAUUUGUUACCAAUGUGUUGUGCCAAAUAUUUCACUAAACCUUCUAGGAUUCUAUGACUCUUACCUGCUUCUCCUUUGUCUAAAGCCAGUCAUGGGCUCUAAGCUUCCAAGCACUGUGUCUGCAGACGGCUGGAGACCCCAGGCUCUGGGUUCUGAACAUCCUGCAAAGAUAGAUACUAUCUGUAAUUCAAAGUCUUGGUAGAACAGAAGACUCUCUUCUUGUCUUGGCCAGGAAAUUAUGUAGACGCAGCUGGCACUGUAGACAUGCUCAUGCAACCUCCCUUUUACCCCUACUGAUUGGCUGUAAGGAUCACAGCAGAAUAUGUGGUGCUCUUGAGGACAUGAAUUGGAGUGGAAGUGGUGCAUGCUUUCUAACAAAAGCUGCUGGAUUAUUCAGUAAAUACAGUUUUGAAAAAUUUUCCAUCCAUAGACUGAUCUUCUCUUCAAUCGUGCAGAGACCAAGUGCUUUCAUUACAAAUUUGUGGUGUUGGAAGACAGUGGGACGAGUGCGUGGAAAGUCCAUGACAGGGAGAAAGUAUGGUCCACUCAGCACCACAGGAAAUGCAGUGGUAUCUCCAUGGACUUUGCUGCUGUUUCCAUCCCCAUAGCGUAGCAUUUGGGCAAGUACUGAUACGAGUAUAGCAGUCACUGAGGCAAUGUCAUCUCCUACACCACCUCUUUCUCUUCAAUUUUUCUUACUCCCAUCUUUUACCAUCAUUUAGACCUGUACAGUUUUGGCAGGGUUAGAGAUGGAAAUCUCAGAUUUGCAGUAGCAAGUCUCAAUCUCAUCACAAAAGAACCUCUCUGCUUACUUGCUUUCUACAGACCCUGGCUACUUAGUCCAGGAUCUUGGUCCUAUGUGAUACAGGACAAAUCCCAGUGUCUCCACCAAGUCUUGGGUUUUCAGCUGUGAAGGAGAGCAAUUCCUCAUGAUCUACAGCAAGUGCUAGUUCUCUUGAAUCUGCUUUCCUUCCAGACCCUGCAAGUGGGCCCAACUACAGAACCUCUUCUCUGCCUGUGUGCUCAGAGUGACUUUUUGGGAUAGAUGUGCAAAAAGUUGGGAUUGCAGGUGCAAAAACAGGAGAGGAAUUUGAAGCAGCAUGCAUCAGCUUCUCAAUAAUCCUGCCUGUCUGAGUGCCUGGAGGUGCUUUGUUUCUGACAAAUUUCAGGACUUCUGCAAAUAUCUGGUUAAAUGAGAGAGGAAAUUUGAGGUGUGAAGUGAUUGUUGGCAGCAAGGCAAAGCAGAAGGCAGUCACGGAGGGCAAGCAUCUGGUCCAGGACCGAUACACUCAAAGCACAGCCCCAAGCAUCAACAGUGAUGGAUGUUGCACUGGUGGCAGACAGCUCAGGGAAACUCUUUUUGGUCAAAAUCUGCUUUCUGCAUCUGAUUUAUCAAAUACUUGUGGAUAGCAGUCACGUCCCAUAGUAAGAACUCUGCCUGGGCCUCUGAUGAGCAAAAGGGAGAACUGGAUGCACUUUAUAAAUUGGUUGUGGCAUUUGGCCAUGAUUCUUCUUGUGACAGUUAAUAGGUGACUUAAUUCUUUGCUUAAUCAGGACUGUUCCCAUUACACAAUUGAGGAAGUUCUGUCUCCUGGCUACCUCACUAUAUUUAGGCUGUGAACUGCAGGAAGCUGACCAGCAUGAUGUUUUCGCAUGUGUUCCCCAAUAACAUUUCCCUACAAAGUGAAGUCUCUCUCACUGCUUUCCUCCGCUUCUACCUCGUCCACCAGGCACUGAGGGUAGGGGAUGCUCUGUGGGUCCCUUCUGG
rnacentral:lncRNA from 7 species